UUUAGUUUUUAAUGAUAAAAUUUGGGCAUGGAGAAGAUUUUCUCAAAUUCUGUACAAAGUUUUGGACACAGUACAUAAUGCUUUUCUUAGCUACUCCCUGUGUGCAUUCUUUGUAUCCAUAUAGAAUCCCAGGGUCUUCCCACUGAAUGAAAAGGACUUUCCAAUGCCACUGUUGCAAAGAGAAUGAAGAACAUCUUCCUUCUCCAGGAACAGGGACCAUCUUUAAUAUAAUCCAAUUUGUGGCUAGAGGAAUAACGCAGUGGUACAGUACUUCCCCUGGGCUCAAUCUACAAUUCUGUACAAAAACCAAGCAAGCCCAAACUUAUUCAACCUAAUAAUAGAGCAAACUUCCUAUCAUAGUUCAUAUGCAAGAGUGAACCAUAGCUCUUUGUGUACUCAAGUAUGUAGUGAGAAGUUUGGUUUCUUUAAAAGCAGAAAAAUGUUACAGGAAUUGGGUUUUGUUUUGAUCCCAGGUGUGGUAAAUGGGGCUGCUUCACAGUAGCACACUAUCAUUUGCCUCGUGCUCUGACAGGGGCAUAUUUUUGCCAGCUGCAGAUAGUUUUUGCAAGUGUAUGACAUUUGGAAUUCUGGAGACUCUUGAGAGGGUAUAAAAAAUGCUAGAGCUCCGAGGAGAGCAGAGGCCUGUUGUGGCUGCUGCUGUUCAUGCUGCUGCUGGUUGCUGCUGCUGUUGCUUUGCUGGUUAGAGCUAUCCUGACAGCAAGAUCAAAAUUGCCCCAGGGAACUUGAUGCUCCUAAUCAGCAGGUUGCAGUCUAAUGAUAUUGAUGCCCCCUUUCCCCUCUAGCUUUCUUUCUCUACUACCUAGUGCUGGGGGUGGGGGGAGCCGAGGGUGGAAGGGAUAAGGGUGGAAAGGGUGAUAGAAAUAGAAGCCCAUAAAGUACCCAAAAUCCAGUUACACAAAUACGUGUAAGCAAACUAAUCAUAACUAGAGAAAUAAUGUUAUAUGAUUUCAAGCGGUAGAUAGAAAUUUUAGUAUUGUUUUGCAACAGCUUGUGUUAUGAAGUAAUGACAUCAAUAUGUAUCUCAUAGUAUCACUAUGAUUAUUAUGUUUGUAAAGAACUCAAGCUAGAAUUGGACUCACAGUAAAUGCUAAAGAAUUGCUUAAUGAGUAAACAAAUCCAUCCAUCAGUAAUUCUGCUCUGCUGUUGCCACAUGGAUUCUAAUCUUUAUGUUAGGCAUUACAGUACUCUUUUCGGUAUGAUUCCUAUUCUCUUUCUUUCACACUUCAUCUCUUAAGUCUUAACAUUCAAAUUCUGCCUUUCAACAUCUUUCUUGACAGUGCUUGUCUGUACCAGCCUCACCUGUAUUCUCUGUAGCACAUCUGCGCAAAUGCAGCAUCUAACAUAUAUUCUUCUUACUAAGGGCUCUAAGCCUGGAGGAAGGCAGUAGGAUUCUGACAUUUCUAGGUUCAACCUGUAGAAUUUACAGGAUGCGACUCCUAGAUAGAAACAAAAGAUACCCAGUUUAAACAAGCGUCCUAACAAAGCAGAUAUAAGUCCCUAAUCAAGAAACACUGAUCAAAAUAAUCUCUUCUUUGGUUAUGGAAAGAUCUUUAUCAACAAAACUGUAAACGUCUUGUUUUCCUGUAUCUCUCCCUGUGCUGAUGGAAUUAUGACUGCUACUGAAUAAUAUUGUUUUUUUUUACUGCAAGAGCUCUGGGUGUGGUCCAGGAUAUGUAACUAGGGACUGGGAAGGACAAAGAGAAUUAUGCAUGGAUAAUUUACCUAGUGGCAGCUACACUGUGUCAUGGAUGCUUACAAGUUCACAUUUGUACAUGUUUCUGGAGCCAGCGAAGACAGGAUAGUUAUCCCUACUGAAGGUAACUAUAUUACUUUAAAUUUUUCAAAUGUCAGCUGGCUUUUUGCUGGAGCUAUGUAAUCCUCUGCAAUGUGAUAUGCAGCUCACUCAUGAAUCUGUGGUCUUAAAUCUGUUUCUUCUGACACUGAGUCUCCUCUUGGGGACAAUAGGGAAAACAGUGAAAGCUUUCUCGUGACAAUAGCAGAGGACAAGGUGAUAUCAGAGAUGUGGAAGUCCAUUUCAAGCCUCUGGCUAUAUUGCAUCAGUCACACCAAGGAAGAAGCCCAUUGAAGAGGGAAGAAGCUCUAAAUUGUAUGACAAAAGUUAUAAAUGCAGAUUAAUCUGCUGGGUCUCAGGGGUUUGAACCUAGCUCAGCCAGCAAACAGGCUACCUUUUAAUGUCCCACAUCCUCCUAGCUGCCUGAAGAAGAAAAUCUCCUCCUGGCUGCCUUCAGCUGAAGAUAUGGAACUCUUGGCUUCUCCAGCAGCAUGUCUGCCUGCGUAAUGUCAUGCUUCUCACCAUGAUGAUAAUGGACUGAACCUCUGAAACUGGAAGCAAGAUCAAGGCAUUGGAUCUCCUGGAGCUGGAGAUACAGGUGCUUCUGAGCUGCCUUGCUACAUGCUGGUAUCUGAACAAUUGUACUCUGGAAGCAUAAGUGCUCUACUCCAGAGCCAGCUCUCCAGAAUCAUAAGGCAGGUGUUCUGCAAACAGUUGUCACUCUUUUUUUGGUUUGGGGAAUGGAGAGAAGAAAAGCCUGUACUUUUAUCCACACAAAUAGUAUAUAUUAUUUUUUCCUGAA